GGCAGGUGUCCCACUUCCAGCCAGAGUAAACCCAGGGGCCCUGCUUUCAGCGACAGGAAAGAGGACUGUCUCUCGGAGAUGAAGCGGUUAAACUUCCAGCUUCAGCUCCCAGGGGUCAGCCAAGCCCUCCAGUUCAGGAGCUGAGGACCCCGCACCCUCCGUACCGGCCUUGUCCCUAGUGGUCCCGAGCCAAGCACACUGCUCCGGAUGCGCGGGCGGGUCUGCAGCGCGGAGGCCGGGACAGCGCAGGGAGAACAAGGCCCCGAGGGAGGCUGGCCCGCCAGGAACGGGGGCCGCGGCGAGGGACGUCCACCCAGCACUGUCAGGGUGACUUCUCCACGGACGGACGAGGGAACUCGGCCUGAGAGAUUUUCAAAGCGCGUCCGUGAAAUUUUACCAUCAUUCUCGAGGGAAGAUAUUUUGGACAUCUUUGUUGAAUAAACGUGGAACCAGAGAAA